rnacentral:rRNA from 1 species
GUGGGGAAUAUUGGACAAUGGGGGGAACCCUGAUCCAGCCAUGCCGCGUGUGUGAAGAAGGUCUUCGGAUUGUAAAGCACUUUAAGUUGGGAGGAAGGGCAGUAAGUUAAUACCUUGCUGUUUUGACGUUACCAACAGAAUAAGCACCGGCUAACUUCGUGCCAGCAGCCGCGGUAAUACGAAGGGUGCAAGCGUUAAUCGGAAUUACUGGGCGUAAAGCGCGCGUAGGUGGUUCAGCAAGUUGAAGGUGAAAUCCCCGGGCUCAACCUGGGAACUGCCUCCAAAACUGCAUGACUAGAGUACGGUAGAGGGUAGUGGAAUUUCCUGUGUAGCGGUGAAAUGCGUAGAUAUAGGAAGGAACACCAGUGGCGAAGGCGACUACCUGGACUGAUACUGACACUGAGGUGCGAAAGCGUGGGGAGCAAACAGGAUUAGAAACCCUGGUAGUCC